UGUCCCUAACCUGGGCAGAGUUGUACCAGGUUUGGUGGUGCUUGUCCCUUAUAAGCCAGAGAUAAAGUAACUCCUUGUUUAUCCCAUUUGGCUUUUGGUCUGUGCCCAGUAGCUGGUUCAUGCCCUGGAAACAUAC